CCUACGGGAGGCAGCAGUGGGGAAUAUUGCGCAAUGGGCGCAAGCCUGACGCAGCGACGCCGCGUGAAGGAUGAAGGUCUUCGGGUCGUAAACCUCUUUCAGCAGGGAAGAACGGUCACUGUGCUAAUCCGCAGUUAAUUGACGUUACCUGCAAAGGAAGCACCGGCUAACUCCGUGCCAGCAGCCGCGGUAAUACGGAGGGUGCGAGCGUUAAUCGGAAUUACUGGGCGUAAAGCGCUCGUAGGCGGUAUGUCAAGUCAAGGGUGAAAUCCCCGCGCUCAACGUGGGAACUGCCUUUGACACUGGCAAAGUGGGGUGUGCGAGAGGAGAGUGGAAUUCCAGGUGGAGGAGUGAAAUCCGUAGAUAUCCGGAGGAAAAUCAGUGGCGAAGGCGACCAUCUGGAACAUAACUGACGCUGAGGAGCGAAAGCGUGGGUAGCAAACAGGAUUAGAUACCCGAGUAGUC
rnacentral:rRNA from 1 species